GCUGCAGUGAUGGUUGUAUUCAUUCAUUACAGUGAUGGUUGUACUCAUUCAUUACAGUGGUUGUACUCAUUCAUUACAGUGGUUGUACUCAUUCAUUACAGUGAUGGUUGUACUCAUUCAUUACAGUGGUUGUACUCAUUCAUUACAGUGAUGGUUGUACUCAUUCAUUACAGUGGUUGUACUCAUUCAUUACAGUGAUGGUUGUACUCAUCAUUACAGUGAUGGUGUUGUACUAUUCAUUACAAGCUGCAGUGAUGGUUGUUUCUUCAUUACAGUGAUGGUUGUCCUCAUUCAUUACAGCUGCAGUGAUGGUUGUACUCAUUCAUUACAGUGAUGGUUGUCCUCUAUUACAGCUGCCGUGAGGUGUGCUCAUUCAUUCAGUGAUGGUUGUACUCAUUCAUUACGC
ensembl:lncRNA